CAGUAAGAAAGAUCUUUAUUUUUAGAAAACAGAGACUUGCUGACUUGUAAGAAAAGCUUGUGAACUUGUGAAUGGAAAAUGGAAAUUGUAAUGGUCACUACCGAAUGGUGAUAGUAGUAAUGACAACAACUGGAAUAAGAAUCAAAUCACAGAAUAAGGAGUAAAGGUGGAGAUCUGUAUUGAAAAAAUGCUGUGUACUACCCAAUUGCAUACUUACUGAUUGUAACUGUGACCUUGGAAGGUUCAAACUUCUUGAAUGGCACGGUGACAGCUUGGGUGGUUGGUGAGACUGUUGUCGUUACUGGAAUAGCCCAUUUUCAUGCAACAUCGAUGCAAACAUACGGCACACAAUCUAGCAUUCCCAAGCAAUAAGUUGUUGCCGGCUAUUUGUCUGCAAAGUUUCAUUUUAACUCACCAUUCUCGACACACAUGAGACCAUCGGGUAAUAGCCUGAGCCCAUCUGGACAAGCACAACUGAGAAGAGGGGAUUUUGCACUGAUUUUUGGUGCUGGUAGGCAAAGGUGACUACAGUGCCCAUUUACUGCCUGACACUGAUUUUUCCCAUCAGGUUGUCUAUACGGAUGAUAUACGUGUACAGCCAUCGGGUGUUGAACAGACCUCACAGAAGUUAUUGCCUCAACUUCUUUGCCGGUGAAU